CCUACGGGAGGCAGCAGUGAGGAAUAUUGGUCAAUGGACGAGAGUCUGAACCAGCCAAGUAGCGUGAAGGAUGACUGCCCUAUGGGUUGUAAACUUCUUUUAUAAAGGAAUAAAACGAGGCACGCGUGCCUUUUUGCAUGUACUUUAUGAAUAAGGAUCGGCUAACUCCGUGCCAGCAGCCGCGGUAAUACGGAGGAUCCGAGCGUUAUCCGGAUUUAUUGGGUUUAAAGGGAGCGUAGAUGGGUUGUUAAGUCAGUUGUGAAAGUUUGCGGCUCAACCGUAAAAUUGCAAUUGAUACUGGCAGUCGUGAGUACAGUUGAGGUAGGCGGAAUUCGUGGUGUAGCGGUGAAAUGCUUAGAUAUCACGAAGAACCCCGAUUGCGAAGGCAGCUUACUAAACUGUGACUGACAUUGAUGCUCGAAAGUGUGGGUAUCAAACAGGAUUAGAUACCCCAGUAGUC
rnacentral:rRNA from 1 species